CUGUUUUAGGGAACAAACCUCUGAAAACUUCAUACCUUCUGAAUAUUUAAACCUCAAGCCCUGGCUACUUAUUCUACUUGCUGAGAGUCCAGUGUCUAUCUGGAACUGAACUCAGCAUUGUGCUUAAACCAGUGUGGGGAAAAUAAACUAAGGAGUGCCCUCAGCUAAUGUUUAUCAACAUUUAGUAGGUAAUGGCUAUGUCUCUACAUCUGUCCUGGUAAUAUCAGCACCAGAGAACUCUUCAUGAGAGAAGAAACUAGGAAGAUAAAUCACCUCCUUUGGCAUCUCAGUGGGGAGCCUGAUGAGACUGAAUGAAGCCAGAUCUGAACACCCAAGCACAGCCCUCCUGUUCACAAGUACCUGCACAAGCAAACCAAACACAGAGCUUCUGGAGUGGGCAAGUGGUGUGUGACUUCCAGCUAGAAGGCUCCCUUACCUGUUCAAAGGCUCUGGAGAAGCCAGCUUGCUGCCUCUGGGACCCACCUGACCUUUCUGGAUAGAUGCAGUAAGAAGUGAAUCUUGCAGCAAACUUUGCCUCUUGUUUGACACCACCAGAGGUGCCUUCAUUGAGAAAGUGUGCAAAGCACUUUACGGGCUGGUAACACCACCACCCCCUUAUGAAACACUGCACUCCCAACCAUGUAGGCAUUCCCAUUCCAUCAUCUCUCCUGAAAUGGGGGACCAAACCAGGAAAAAGUCUAGGGGGGAUGAGCAAGAGGCCAGACCUUGAGGCUGGUCAGGUCUGAAGGACAUAAAAACAUGCACACUUCACAGCUUGGACACAAACAAGUGCACUUACCAGAGGAGGUCUACAAGUGAAUGCUGUGGGGAAUUCACUGGAUAGCUUAAUAAGCCAGGCAUGCAGCCCUGAUGCAGCAGAAAGCACUGAACCCUCUCCAACCUGCCUGCACAACCUGCUUCUUGCUGUUGCCUCAUCCAAACUGCUGAGAUGAACUCCUGCCCAUAUUUUUAUUUUGGAUAUUUCAUGUCAAAAUGUUUUGGCUUGCAUGGCAGUAUGCUUGAUUCCCUUACUUAGGAAGAGUUUUUCUAACCUGAGGAAAGCCAGCUGGCCCAGAGAGGUGCAGACCUGUGUCCCAUGCCAUCAGCAGGUGCUCAGAAGCAAAUUCUCAACACGAACAUGCUGUGCUUAAAACAACAGUUGCAAGUCGUGCCCCUGAGGGUGUUAUUGAAUUUUCAGUCCACAGCCAACCUCGGCAGGAGUAAGAUCUUGGUGCAAUUGGCCAUGACACAGCCUCUGUGGUCCUAUGGACAUAGCUCAAAGUGUCAGCCCUCCUUUGCAGAGCUAUCAAGAGGCCACGUUAGGGAAUUCAUUUUACACCCUGGCGUUGUCUGCUUGACAUCAUAAAAAACUCUAUGAAGAAAAUGAACUCUUCUUAAAAGAAAAUUAAUUAUAGUCAUGGCAUCACCUGAGAGAAUAUUCAAGUCACAGGAGGAGGGGAAACGGACUUUAGUCUGUUCAGUGACACAGCUAAUUCUGCUUCAGCCCCACGAGUUGGAGAACUCACACCACAUUUACCAACCAUGGCUUUCUCAAAUGCUCCAUCAUUUUGUAUUGACUUUCAGACAUGAAGAAAAGAUCAGAUGGCAGGACUGGUCUGUUAAUGUUGUAAUAACUUAUACCUGAAUUGCCAAGAAGAAAUGUGGAUAUAAAAAACUGCAUGUGAUAAUGGCAUAAGUAUGGCAUUUCUCAUCUUUUUUUAUUUUUCAUAAUGAAAUAAUGUAGUAAUUUUAAUAGGAAUGUGAAAUGUUUUUUGUGCAGUAUAGAAAGUUAAUGUAUUAGUCUUUUGCCUGUUUACACUAAGUUUUAAUGUGUCCUAGGACACAAACUGCAUCAGGGAUCUGUAGAACUGGUAUUUGUGCCAGCUAACUUUAGCCAUCUGAAGGACGUCUAGCUGAGACUUUGAAGCUUAGCCUUGCAAAAGCCACACAUUGUAAUUCCCUCCACAGUCACAUAGAGAAAUAGAGAUGAACACUUCCAGGAAGUGAGAAAUCCUACACCCAAGUCUAAAUUUGCUGGGUCACCUUCUGGAGGCACAUGUGGACAGACAGCCAGCCCAGAGCAGACGCCAAUGUUCAAACAGCUUCAGUUGGAAGACCCCAGUCCAGUUCCCAGUGCAGCUUUUGAUCAGGUUAAAACUUUGGUGCAUGGCCAUUACUAACGUGAUUCUGCCUAAAACCAAGACUCAAACCCUGACCUUCAUUGAACCCAAUUCUUUAGAUGUUAUGGGCAUGAAUAGAUUCACCUUUGCUAUUCCUACCCUAAUCUCAACCCAUGGAAAAGUUCAUCUUGGAACUUCAGGUGUGUCUUCAACAACAACCUGAUGGAAAUUCCAGCUUCUCAUCUCUCUGUUCUCUUGACUCAGCCUGGACAUUUUCUAGGACCUAAACUGCAUCAUGGAAGCAUGCUAAAAAUUAAAAGCGAACCUGAAUGUCUGAAUCAUGAUCCAGAGAAAAUCCAUCUUUGUUUUCAGAGAGCUCUUUUCCAAUAGAUCAAGUGCUGUAAACACACAGGAAUGCACGUGUACAAUUUAGUGAGGAGAUCUUAAAGGUUGCUGAAGGUCAGGCAGUUUGGGGAACACACUGGGCAAUGCUACACGUGUCUGCUGGCAAUGGAGAUGUUCAGGGACUGGCUGAAAUGUGUGUGACCGACAGCUGUCCCUGCACAGACGCCUUCUGUUCCCAGGCCCCCAGCCACUGAUUUCAGAUCAAACAUGGAACCUGAAAGCCUGGAUAGCAUCUCCAGGGAACAAAGUCAGGCAUUUAAUUAAAGGAUGCCAAGCCCAGUUCAAAAGGACUCUGUGUGUUCAGAGAUGCAGCACCCAGCAGACCUUCUGGAGGCUGCCCAAGAAGGCACAGCUGUGCACACCGAGAGCUCAGAGCCCGCGGCAGCUGGGCCAGGCAUGCAGUAAUACUGAGCAAGGCAUCUGUAACUGUGUGUAAGAGCUCUGCAAAUAGCUAAUAUACUCCGGGGAUUUUUCACGAUGGCUUGUUUUUGGUGCACAAAUGCUGGCACGCUGCUCACGUGUCAUGCAGGAGGAGCUUUUCAUUUUCCUCCUUCGGUGGCAUCACGGGGCUGUUGAGAGAGUGGUUUUGUAAUGACACUUGGGCUGAGCUAGCCUUCAUAUGUGUCAUGUAGGGAAACGUCUCGUGCUGCAAACAUGCGUCUGUCCCGGCUGUCAUUUGUGUGCCACAGCAGCACAAUUUGCUCGGAGUUGUUCCCAGCAGAGGGUCUUAAAAGCACAACAGUUUAGCAACUGCUAUGCAGUGAUGUGAUGGCAGUUGCAACAUCAUCACUAUUGUUGAAAACACAACAGUAACACUUCCAGAGUCCCCAAGGAAGAGCUGUACUAUUAGGGUUUAUGCCUGUGCACACAUUCCACUUUCACACAAAUGCACAGAGUAAGAGGCGUUGCAGACCAAGCAAAUUGGACAUUAUUCUCACUGUACAGAAGGGGUGCAAGCACAUCAAGUGACCUGUCUGAUGUUAUACAUGGCAUCUAUGAUAAAGAUUUAUUGCAACUAUAAAAGAUUUAUCGCAGGGGGAAGAAAUUAAAUGGCACCCUUCUUAGUGAAAGCAAGAUUAAAAAAAGAAUGGGCCUUGGGAUGAAGUCAAAACUUAGGGGGCAAAGUGAGUGCCUUCUUGCUUCUGUAUUAAGGAUAUUUUUGGCUGUCAAAUGUGUUGCCCCUCAUGCUACCUUCUUCAACAGAGAUGCUUUGAUUUGUUUGUUAAAUUUAAGACUUCCUUCCUGGGCUGUGCGUGUCCAAAGAACAAGAGAAACUGCUCCCACUUGGCCAUCUCUGGACAGAUUUUCAGCUGAUGAGAAUACUUCUGGGAAUGGAGAGCUGAUCCUCCCCUGGGAAAGCCAGUCUGUAGAAGCAGCUGCAGCUGGUGCAGAGAGUCUGCAAGAAGGUGCAGCUCAUCUCUAUUCUUCUGACAU